CAAUCACAGUAUCACCUACGAGGCUACGAGCUUUAGUAAAGUAAAAUCUCUCCCUCGAAAUUUUAACCGGCCACCACGAUCGCUUGAAGCGCCAAAACCCUCCACAAAACUCAACAAUGCUCGACCGAUUUCCCCCGGAAAUAAAAUCUGAUAUUCUAAGUCGACUUCCUGUCGAUGACCUCCUGCGAUUCCGAUGCAUAUCCAAGUCAUGGUGUGCCCAAAUCGACGACGCUGCAUUUAUCAAAACCCAUUUGAAAAAAUUCUUCAACGUCUACUCUAGUCUCAAUCUCAUUUUCUCAGGCUGCUUCUACUUGGCAAGCUUUGAGUCGCUUGGCACAGCCGUUGAACUCGAUAACCCUUUGAAGGGUCCCUCUGAUGCACAUCACGAUAUCAAGUUGGUGGAUUCUUGUAAUGGGUUGGUAUGCUUUGGUGAUGCUGUUGGAACCAUUGCUUUGCUGAACCCAUUAACCAGAAAGCACCACAUUCUACCCUUUUUGCCCCUUGAUUUCCAGCUUGAGGGAAAAUCUACAUGGGCUGCUUGGGCUUUUGGAUUUGGGUAUGACCCCAUUAGUGAUGAUUACAAGGUGGUGAGGGUUGGGCAGUAUCUUAGCUUGUCUGAUCAGUUCUUUGACACAGAAACUAAUGUUUACAAUCUUAAAGCAAACACAUGGAGGAAGAUUCAAGGUAUGUCUUAUGUGCUUGGUUUUGAUCAGAAGAUGGGUGUACUUGCAGGAAAUGCGCUGCAUUGGCUAGUGGGUCGAAAUCGGAUCAUGCGUAACCCCAACCUGAUUGUUGCUUUUAAUCUUGAGGUUGAGGACUUUAGGGAGGUGCCAGCGCCUGAGAGUAUUGGUGAAAAUCUUUCUAUCGAUUUGGGGGUCGUAGGAAAAUGGCUAUCGCUGACUGCAAAUUAUGAGUGUAUGCGCCUGGAUGUUUGGGUGAUGAAGGAAUAUGGAGUGGAAGAAUCUUGGACUAGACUCUUUGUGAUCACACCCAACGAAGUAGCACCUUUAAAAUGUUUGAGAACCUUAGCUUUCUCAAAGAAUGGUGAUGAACUUCUACUGGGUGUGCAGGCUGGAAACCUUGUCUGGUAUAACCUGAAAGAAAAGAGUGUCAAGAGGGUGGAGAAACCUAUUUCUGUGACUCCUUUUGCAGUGAAGGCUUUUCGUGGAAGCCUUGUUUCUCCCUGUGUUAGCAAAGAAAAAACUGAUGCGAAGAAAGCCAGACCACGGAAGGGAAGGAAGAAUAGGAAGAGGGCAUGCCCUUGUUUCUCAGGGACGAAUUCCUAUCAGAGGGGUUUAAGUUGGCUUUGUAGGUAAAUGGAGCAGAGUAGGAUCAAGGAUAGGUAGAGUCCUCAUACUGGUGGAAUAAAGCUGUAUUAGCACAUGAGAUGCUCUGAUGGUGGAAGGAAGUGGGGUUAGACUUUGGCCAUCUCUCUGCUUUGUAAAAAAAUCUUUCUACAUAUGAAUAUCUGCUUUUUGUAUAGCCAAAGACCUUUUUACUUGCAAGUUGUCCUGAAAGUAAAGGUUAGCAUACACACUUGAAGGUUGUAAAAAAAUGGUAUGAAUUGAUAGUUUGAAGUUUGAACAUUUUGCUUAUAUCCCAUUAUGCUAGUGCAAAUUGAGGCUGUUUUGAAAGGGUGUGUUAUUUUCUAA
rnacentral:misc_RNA from 1 species